GCAGACAUGAACCACUGGCUGAGAAACAUCCUGAUUCUGACUCUCUGGCUAGAGUGUAAAGGAGAAGACAGAGUGACCCAGCCAGCAGGAGAUGUCAUUGCUGCUGAAGGAGACACAGUUACACUUGACUGUACUUUUGAGACGAGUUAUCCAGGUCCAACUUUGUUCUGGUACAAACAGGAUGGAAACAACAGCCCCAGAUUCAUGCUGAGUCGCAUGCAACAGAACGAUGUGAAAACAGAGGAUAAGUUUAAGGAGAGGUUUUCAUCAACAGUUGAUUCCACCUCAAAAUCAGUUCCUCUGAAGAUCCAGAAGCUUCAGCUGUCUGACUCUGCUGUGUACUACUGUGCUCUGCAGCCCACAGUGACAGGAAACACCAAAACUCUGUACAAAAACCUUUGGAGCAAAGACAACAGAAUACUCCACAACUUCCACUAGAGGGAGUCACACACUGUUAAACUUCAGUGUGAUGAUGCAGUCUGGAUUUGUUUCAUC